rnacentral:rRNA from 1 species
ACUCCUACGGGAGGCAGCAGUGGGGAAUAUUGGACAAUGGGGGCAACCCUGAUCCAGCCAUGCCGCGUGAGUGAUGAAGGCCCUAGGGUUGUAAAGCUCUUUCAGCGAGGAGGAUAAUGACGUUACUCGCAGAAGAAGCCCCGGCUAACUUCGUGCCAGCAGCCGCGGUAAUACGAAGGGGGCUAGCGUUGUUCGGAAUCACUGGGGCGUAAAGCGCACGUAGGCGGAUUGAUAAGUUAGGGGGUGAAAUCCCGGGGCUCAACCUCGGAACUGCCUUUGAUACUGUCAGUCUUGAGUCCGAGAGAGGUGAGUGGAACUCCGAGUGUAGAGGUGAAAUUCGUAGAUAUUCGAAGAACACCAGUGGCGAAGGCGGCUCACUGGCUCGGUACUGACGCUGAGGUGCGAAAGCGU